rnacentral:lncRNA from 1 species
CCGGCAGCAGGAGGAGGAGGAGGAGGAGGAGGAGGAAGAAGAGGAGGAGGAGACGGCCUUCUUCCCUCCCGCCGCCCAGCGCGGAGGCAGGUUGAGCCGCGGCGAGGCUGGGAGGCCGGCGGCGGAGGCUCGGCGGAGUCCCGGGAGCCGAGGAGGGCUCGGAGCAGCGAGCGGCUCGGCGGCGGGGCAGGUGGCGGCAGCCGAGCGGCGCUCCAGGACUGAGAGCGGAGGCCGGGAGGAGGAGCCCGGCCUCGGCGCCUCCCCGAGCCGGCCCCCCCGGGGAGGAGAGGGGUGGGUUCGGCUCCCAGACCCCCCAGGCCGGGCGGGGAGGUGCUGCCGAGCUGUCAUCCACAAGGACCAGAAUGAAGAGCAGGGAAAGGCUGAGCCAGAGAUAACAGAAGGAAAGCACAAGGUCUUUGUGGCUGAAAAUUCAGGCAGUCACCAGGAGGAGCCCUGAUGUUAGUGGGAGUACUUGAGCCUUGGGACUCAGGGAACAUGAGAGCUGGAGUUGGAACCCUGAAUCUUUAGCUGGAAAGAUUGCUCGUCUUCACAGCAUUACAUGGAGAACACAACAGAGCAGAACGAACUCACAGAGAUGCAAUAAGUAAACAUGCCGUAAGGGUCUGAAUCAGACUGUCACUGCCAUGCUGUUGUAGGCAGAAGCACUGGUGCAGCGAGAGGCAGGACAGAGUUGGCACCCACCUCUCUGCAGCUGAUGUUGAAGUGUCUUUCACUGCAUAUGUGAACCACUGUACGGUGCCACCUGCGUGGUGCUCCCAGAGGGGGUGGAAAAGAGAGGAGGGGAACAGGAAGGAGGGAGGCUGGGAGCAGCAACAAAUUCACUGUGACCCAGCCAUGCCUCAAGCCUCCACCAAGGUGUGUGUGGCCAGGCAGAAGGGGA